rnacentral:lncRNA from 1 species
GGGGCUCGAAUCAAAGUGCCCAACUACUCACCAUCUCGGAGGCCCUUAGGGGGUGUCUCAUUUGGUCCUCUGCCCUCCCCGGGAAGUCCAUCUUCUCUGACCCACCAUAUCCCUACUGUGGGAGACUCAGACUUUCCAGCUCCCCCGAGGCGAUCUCGGCGUCCUAGCCCCCUGGCAACCAGGCCACCACCAUCCCGGAGGACCUCCUCUCCUCUCAGAACUUCCCCUCAGCUCAGGGUGCCCCUGUCUACCUCAGUCCUUACACCUACCUCAGGGGAGCUGGCUCCCCCUGACCUGGCCCCAUCUCCCCUACCACCCUCUGAAG